UACGUAGGGUGCAAGCGUUAUCCGGAAUUAUUGGGCGUAAAGAGCUCGUAGGCGGCUUGUCGCGUCGACUGUGAAAACCCGUGGCUCAACCAUGUGGUCUGCAGUCGAUACGGGCAGGCUAGAAUUCGGUAGGGGAGACUGGAAUUCCUGGUGUAGCGGUGAAAUGCGCAGAUAUCAGGAGGAACACCGGUGGCGAAGGCGGGUCUCUGGGCCGAUACUGACGCUGAGGAGCGAAAGCGUGGGGAGCGAACAGG
rnacentral:rRNA from 1 species